AUUGAACGCUGGCGGCAUGCCUAACACAUGCAAGUCGAACGGGAUCAGGGGCAACUCUGGUUCAGUGGCGGACGGGUGAGGAAUACAUCGGAAUUUACCUCGAGAUGGGGGAUAACCAAGGGAAACUUUGGCUAAUACCGCAUGAUCUCGUGAGAGCAAAGAGGGGGACCGCAAGGCCUCUUGUCUUGAGAUGAGCCGAU
rnacentral:rRNA from 1 species